rfam:Naumovozyma castellii CBS 4309 chromosome 1, complete genome
GGUUGUUUGGCCGAGCGGUCUAAGGCGCCUGAUUCAAGAAAAUUAAACAUCUUGCCUGUGGAACACCACUGGAAUACUCAGGUAUCGUAAGAUGCAAGAGUUCGAAUCUCUUAGCAACCA